GUAUUGCGGUAAGGGAAGAAUACAUUUCAAAUCUCCUGAUGAGGCUUACAAUUAAUAAGUCAUGGUCUGACCCUUGAAACUUUAGGCUCGUAUAAAUGGGUACUUAUCUGAUUUUUAUAAAGUUAGAAAUUGGAAUUAUUCUUCUUCUGUUUCUUUGGAACAUAUCUCUGUGAUUUAGUGAGAGGGUAUCGAGGAUGAGUGAGCCACCAAAGUACGCGUAUCCCUACCCUGCUCAAGGAUAUUAUCAAGGUCCUCCAGUGAUGCCGCCACCACAAUAUUAUACAGCUCCUCCCCCCAGAAGGGAACCUGGCUUUCUUGAGGGAUGUCUGGCAGCUCUGUGUUGCUGUUUCCUGAUUGAUGAGUGUUGCUGCGACCCUUCCAUCCUCUUCAUCUGUUGAUAUUUAGUAUUUAAUUUCUAGCUAUCUCUUGUGAGAAGAUAUAAUAUUGUACGUGUUAAACAAUCUCUUAAUUGUCCUUGUUUCAAAUUGUUGUAUCAAUCAGCUUGUUUCCGUAGAUAAAUCUACAUAAUUGUCUUUAUAAUUAGAGAUCAGAAUAUAUAUCCUAUUUCCUUUUAAUA